UACGGGGGGGGCAAGCGUUGUUCGGAAUUACUGGGCGUAAAGGGCUCGUAGGUGGCCAACUAAGUCAGACGUGAAAUCCCUCGGCUUAACCGGGGAACUGCAUCUGAUACUGGAUGGCUUGAGUUUGGGAGAGGGAUGCGGAAUUCCAGGUGUAGCGGUGAAAUGCGUAGAUAUCUGGAGGAACACCGGUGGCGAAGGCGGCAUCCUGGACCAACACUGACACUGAGGAGCGAAAGCUAGGGGAGCGAACGGG
rnacentral:rRNA from 1 species